rnacentral:ncRNA from 1 species
CUGACUAUGAUGUACCUUGGAGAAGAUUUCUUGGGUUGAUUCUGUGUGGGGUCCUUUGUAUUUCUUGGUCUGGACCUGAAAGAUAGUGAACUAUGCCUGGGCAGGGUGAAGCUAGAGGAAACUCUGGUGGAGGUCUAUAGAGGUCCUAACAUGCAAAUCAGUCAUCUGACCUGGGUGUAGGAGCAGAAGACUAGUCAAACUAUCUAUUAGCUGGUUCCCUUCAAAAUUUCCCACAGGAUAGCUGGUGCUCUCACAAAUCUCAUGCAGUUUUAUCUGGUAAAGUGAAUGAUUAGAGGUCUUGAAGCUGAAAUAUCAUUAACUAUUAUGGAAAUGCAAAUUGACACUACAAGAUACAUACCUGUUAGAAUGGUUAAAAUAAAAAAUAGUUAAAACUAAAUGAUGGUGAGGAUGCAGAGAAACUGGAUCUCUCAUAUAUUGCUGUUGGGAAUAUGAAAUAGUAAAUAGGUCAGUCAUUCUGGAAAAUAUUUUGGCA